AGAAUCAUUAUUAAACUGAUUUAAAAAAUUUCCACGGAAGAGACAUUCCUGUCACUCACAAUAGGCCCAGACAUUUGCUGUCACUCAUAAUAGGCUCACAGAAAUUACAUGCAACAAUUCCACAAGUUCACAACUCAACCCAUAUGCUUGUGAUAAAGAAUAAUGAAGGAUCGAUAUCGGAGACCUCUUUAAUCAUUGUAGACCUCCAGAUCCCUAGAAAAUAUCUUACAAGCACAUCACAUAAUUUCAAACUUGUACAUACACGGUUGGUACUUGGACAACCUAAUCCAAAAAACCCAUAAGGACUUCCUAACUUUUCCAAAGUCUACCCUGUCAAAACAACAAUCAAGAAUUCAAGGGAAAUGAUAACUACACUAAAGAAGAAUUCAGGUUACCAAAAGCUAGCCACGAGAAUCCAAUAAAAAACAAAAUCCAAACAAGUUUAGCCAGUCACGAAUAAAUGCACAAUAAAAUUCAAAAAUAAAGCUUCAUUGGAUCACGUGCUACAGUUUCUACAUUCUACCUUACACAGUCGUAUACAAACAAUAACACAAAUUCCAAAACAAAGGGAUAUUCACUCAUAACACGAUCGAUUAGAUGAAUUCAAACAUAAAGCUUCAUUGAAUCACGUGCUAGAGUGUCUACAUUCUACCUCACACAGUCGUAUACAAACAAUAACACAAAUUCCAAAACAAAGGGAUAUUAACUCAUAACACGAUCGAUUAAAUGAAUUCAAACAUAAAGCUUCAUUGAAUCACGUGUUAGAGUGUCUACAUUCUACCUCACACGGUCGUAUACAGACAAUAACACAAAUUCCAAAACAAAGGGAUAUUCACUCAUAACACGAUCGAUUAGAUGUAGCAUGAAAAAUAUUGCAAACACCACUGCAAAGAAACAAAUGACAACGGAAUCCUUAUAUUUCGUGAUCAAAUCCGAAAAAAUCAAAUAGAGGAAAUUUAUUUUUCAAACACCACUGCAGAGAAACAAAUGACAACGAAAUCCUUAUAUUUCGUGAUCAAAUCCGAAAAAAUCAAAUAGAGGAAAUUCUAAACACUUAUGGAUUUUAAUCCUCAACCAAUCUUUUUAUUUUGAUAGAUCUCUAUCACCAAAUAAAAGAAUGCAUUCAAAUAGAUAGUCACGAAUGAACACAUUAGAAAAUGUAAGGGUAACAAAACCUAUGGUUUCAAAUGAUCCUGCCCAUGUUUCUACAUUGUCCUCACACAUCCAUUACAUGUCUUAUAGCUAUAAAGAGAAAAAAUUCAAGAAAACUGAAAGCACUCAUACUAGAGGUGGAAUUUUAGAAAAUAUUAGACGAAUUCUUAAAUUCAGAAACAAAUAGAGACACUCACCAAAGCUCGACGAGAUCCGGGCAUUAUUUGAAUCCAAUCAUAAACAACUGUAGAAAAACAAAUCUUGAUAUGGAAACAAGAAAAUAUGAUACUGCUAGCUUACCAUAUAAUGAACCCUAAACCCACAAAAGAAGAUAGCAAGUUGCAUAUCGUUCAUCGCGUGUUGUUAUAAGCUGAAAAGGGAUUAAUGGAGACAGUUCAAUCAACACCUGGAUUGGGUAGAGGAAUAGAAUAACAAUUUUACCCAGCCUCCAAAAUACAAUUCCUGCUCUGUGUUCUGAAAAGGGAUUAAUGCAAACAAUUCAAUCAACACCUGGAUUUGGGUAGAAAAAUAGAAUAACAAAGAAAUUAGUUUAUCAAGAGUCGUUCCUUGUUUUGACUUUCACCUCCAAAACACCAUUAUCUUUCUCGCAUAGAAAUCCUGUCCAAAUAGAACAUGAACAAAAAAUGAACGGAAAGGUAUAACUAAUUAAAGAAAUCAUGGCAUAAACAACUCAACAUGUAUGAUUCACUUAGGUGCAAACGUAUAACAAUGGAAACAAACUGCACAUCCUCUGAACUCUUAUCAAUAAGAAAGAAAGUAGUUCUCGCAUUGGAAAAGCCAUUGACGGAUGUUUUCUCCAGAGAAUCUCCUACCGCAAGAAUAAGAAGAAGAGGGAUGUUGCUUUGUGAAUUCUUGAAAUUGAUCUUUUAAGAGAUAAGUACUCUAUUAUGUUCUGUUUUUUACAUGGGAAUCAACCUUCUUUAUAUAUAGCAAAUUGAUUCGUAACGU
rnacentral:lncRNA from 1 species